rnacentral:misc_RNA from 1 species
UGGGCUUGACAUGCGCCAGACAUCCCUAUCUCUAGGGAUGUCUGGCGCAUGUCAAGCCCAGGUAAGGUUCUUCGCGUUGCAUCGAAUUAAUCCACAUGCUCCGCCGCUUGUGCGGGCCCCCGUCAAUUCCUUUGAGUUUUAGCCUUGCGGCCGUACUCCCCAGGCGGGGCGCUUAAUGCGUUAGCUACGGCACGGAACCCGUGGAAAGAGCCCCACACCUAGCGCCCAACGUUUACGGCGUGGACUAC